AUUGAACGCUGGCGGCAGGCCUAACACAUGCAAGUCGAGCGGAUGAGUGGAGCUUGCUCCAUGAUUCAGCGGCGGACGGGUGAGUAAUGCCUAGGAAUCUGCCUGGUAGUGGGGGACAACGUUUCGAAAGGAACGCUAAUACCGCAUACGUCCUACGGGAGAAAGCAGGGGACCUUCGGGCCUUGCGCUAUCAGAUGAGCCUAGGUCGGAUUGGCUAGUUGGUGGGGUAAAGGCCUACCAAGGCGACGAUCCGUAACUGGUCUGAGAGGAUGAUCAGUCAAACUGGAACUGAGACACGGUCCAGACUCCUACGGGAGGCAGCAGUGGGGAAUAUUGGACAAUGGGCGAAAGCCUGAUCCAGCCAUGCCGCGUGUGUGAAGAAGGUCUUCGGAUUGUAAAGCACUUUAAGUUGGGAGGAAGGGCAGUAAGUUAAUACCUUGCUGUUUUGACGUUACCAACAGAAUAAGCACCGGCUAACUUCGUGCCAGCAGCCGCGGUAAAAC
rnacentral:rRNA from 1 species